AAUGGCUGUGAGAAAGCGUGCUUCUCUGCUAAUAGGGGAGGCCAUGCUAUCUACCUGGAAUAUUCAAUCGGUCGCCCUCGUUAAUUUUUAUAUACAACAUGAGCUUAUGCGUGCAACCUUCCUCUUCAGAAGAUGGAAGUGGCGAGAUCGAAGCUGAAAAGGCUUUUGUUUCGCAGGGGCAGCUAUAGACCACCCCGAAAAUUUUUUCUUUAAAUAUAUACAAUUCUGGGCUGAUGUACAAAGCUAGUCAUAAUUAUAGCAUAAAAACCUAUUAGCUUCAUCUGUUGCAUCAACUUGCAUUGAUUAUUAUUAUUGAAGUUUUACCUGGUUAGUGAAAAUGUGAAAUCUCCUUGUGGUAACAAUAUUGGUUUUGUCUUAAUCCUAGAGGAACAUGUAUCAAGGAUCAUGUUACAUGUUAGGUUGUCAGAUUUUCUGUUUGUUGAUUUUAUGGAUUUCCAGAAGUAUGAUCAUUUGAGAGUGAUUACUAUGGUUUUCUUCUUGGCACUGGCAAUGCUAAAAUGUCAAACUUCAAAGAUUAUAGGAAAUCUGAAGUAAAAGAUCUUUUCUUUUCAAUUUAGCAUUGGGUUCCCAUUUUAUUUAUCAAUUGUAAUGGCAUUUGAACUACAAAAUGGAAGUUAUAUUGAAUUUUUUUUA